UAACAAGGAUUCCCCUAGUAACUGCGAGUGAAGCGGGAAAAGCUCAAAUUUAAAAUCUGGCGGUCUUUGGCCGUCCGAGUUGUAGUCUGGAGAAGUGCUUUCCGCGCUGGACCGUGUACAAGUCUCUUGGAACAGAGCGUCAUAGAGGGUGAGAAUCCCGUCUUUGACACGGACUACCAGUGCUUUGUGAUGCGCUCUCAAAGAGUCGAGUUGUUUGGGAAUGCAGCUCAAAAUGGGUGGUGAAUUCCAUCUAAAGCUAAAUAUUGGCGAGAGACCGAUAGCGAACAAGUACCGUGAGGGAAAGAUGAAAAGCACUUUGGAAAGAGAGUUAAACAGUACGUGAAAUUGCUGAAAGGGAAACGCUUGAAGUCAGUCGCGUUGUCCAGAACUCAGCCUUGCUUCGGCUUGGUGCAUUUUCUGGGCGACGGGCCAGCAUCGAUUUUGACCGUCGGAAAAGGGUUGAAGGAAUGUGGCACCUUCGGGUGUGUUAUAGCCUUCAGCCGCAUACGACGGUUGGGAUCGAGGAACGCAGCGCGCCUUAUGGCUGGGGUUCGCCCACAUUCGCGCUUAGGAUGCUGGCAUAAUGGCUUUAAACGAC
rnacentral:rRNA from 1 species